GCCCCCUUAGCUCAGAAGGAUAGAGCAACGGAUUCCUAAUCCGUGUGCCCCGUGUUCGAAUCACGGAGGGGGCACCA
rnacentral:tRNA from 4 species